UACGAAGGGGGCUAGCGUUGCUCGGAAUUACUGGGCGUAAAGGGCGCGUAGGCGGCCAACUAAGUCGGACGUGAAAUCCCCGGGCUCAACCCGGGAACUGCGUCCGAUACUGGAUGGCUUGAAUCCGGGAGAGGGAUGUGGAAUGCCCGGUGGAGCGGUGAAAUGCGUAGAGAUCGGGCGGAACACCAGCGGCGAAGGCGGCAUCCUGGCCCUGUCCUGACGCUGAGGCGCGAGAGCGUGGGGAGCAAACCGG
rnacentral:rRNA from 1 species